AGAACUGGCUCUGACUGUACAGGCAUAGAGAGGAUUCAGAGGCUCUUACACCACUGGCAUUUUGGCAACCCAUACCAGGACGAUGUGAAGACUGCACCAGUCAAGGUGGUUAAGUGACUUCCUGUAUGGCAGAUGCAACUGACAGCAGUAACUUAAGCACACCCUGAGAAUGACCCUGUGGUCUAAGAAGAAUGUGUGUCUGGGAGUGGCCAACCCAGAGACUCACUCCUUAUCUAUGAGGGACAUCCGAACCCCUGGUCCAUUCCUUGGAACACAGGUGUACAGGGGAUUGAAGCCUUUGUUUUGGUUUAAACAGAGGUUGAUAGAUGGAGGGUGGGAAGUGAAAAUUGCCAUAUAAACUGCAUGCUUUUUCA
rnacentral:lncRNA from 10 species